rnacentral:lncRNA from 1 species
UAGGAUUCUCACCGGGAAGGAGGCCUGUCGCAUGACUGCAGAUGUUACUGUCCUUACCUAAAGAGCUCCAUAAUAAUGGCUUAAUAACAAUAGUAAAUUUGAAAUAGAUAAAAAACACUUAGCUUCGUGAACUGUUGAGUUAGCUCUGUGAGUCCGGAUCAUGUCUAGGUAUCACAAAGAGAGGAACGAAUUCUCAGGCUUUUCCUUGCCGCAAACACAGCACGUCCUGUGUAAACCUGCUAUCGAUGGCAAAGACGGUUGGCCCCUUCUUCAGCUACCCUUCAAAUGACCCUUUGAAAUCAUGGAUGGCUCUGCUCACAUGUAUGGGAAACAUGUAUUCAGUUCCAGAUUUUAUCGGAGGGGUUGCAGAUUUGAUAUCUCUUAGGUUUCCACCUAGGUUUCAUGGUGUUGGAGAGGGGCAGUCAGUAGUAGGGUAUUAGGGGUUGAGUGUGAUAGAAAAUUAAAAUCUGCCCGGAAGGGUUGGACUCAUGGGACGGUGGAGUCGAAGGGAUAAACCCAGCUCCCCGGCCUCCUCUCCUGCGGGAGGAGAGGAGAGGAGGCCAGUGGAGAUGCUCUAGACUUUGGCAGGCGAUUGCGUGAACCCUUCGGGCCUCUCCAUCCUCAGCUGUCCUCCUGUUCACUUCUACUCCUAGAAAUAAAAGAAGCCUGGUGUGACCUGGCGUCUCCUCUGUGUCAGACCUCUCUGGGCGGUUAGGAGAACUGAGACAAAUGGUGUAAAGCACUUGAGGAUAGUACUUGACACGUAGUAAGAACUGAAUAAAAGUUAGCUAUUACAUGUAAAAUUUGAUGUCUGUUAAAUAAUGAAAAUAUUGCUUCUUGUCUGCUCUAUUUGCUAUAUAAAAGUCAAGACAUUUGUAAUUCUAUGAAAGUGCGUUACCCCAAAUUUUCAUCCCUUAUUGCACUAUGCUUCCUUUUGCUGCCUCAUUUAAUAAUGUAAAUAGAUUUGUUGAAACACAGUGAUGCUCAUUUGUUUAAUGUAUUUACAGCUGUUUUCACUCUACAGUGGCAGAAUUGAGUAGAUGUGGAUAGAGGUUACGUGGCUUGCAAAACAAAAGGUAAAUAUCUGUGCAUUACAGGGAAAUCUUGCCAAACCUGAUAGAUAGAUAGAUAUCUUCUGAUCCCAAGUAAAAGUAAGCAGAAAGUACUCAGUUAUAGAACAGCUUUCUGAAACUAUCGUUUAGUCUUCGUUUCUUUUAAUCUGACAUUGAAACAAAGGAUGAUGUUUAAAAGAGGAUAGUGCGAAAUACGAUGUUUAUUCAGGUUUUCUUUUAUUUGCUAUCAGAGAGCUGAUUUUAAAGAAUGACUGUAAAUUAAUAAGUCCUUACCAAUUGCAGUAAACUAUGAAUUAAUUUAAAGGUUUGACAUUCUGCCUUUCAUGACAAAUGAAAAACUGAAAGCAUAAAAUUCAAUUGUACCUACGAUCUUUGACUUCACUUACUAUGAUAAUCUCUAGGUCCAUCCAUGUUGCUACAAAUGGCGUUAUUUCAUUAUUUUUUAUGGCUGAGUAAUACUCCGCUGUGUAUAUGUACCACAUCCUCUCUAUUGGAUUCAUCUGUCAGUGGAGAUUUAUGUUGCUUCCAUGUCUUGGCUAUUGUAAAUACUGCUGCUGUGACCAAAGAGGUGCAUGUAUCUUUUCCAAUUAUAGUUUUGUGUGGAUGUAUUCCCAGGAGUGGGAUUGCAGGAUCACACUGUAGCUCUAUUUUCAAUUUUGUGAGGAACCUGUAUACUAUUCUCCAUAGUGGCUGCCCAAAUUUACAACCAACACUGUAGGAAAGUUCCUUUUUUCCCACACCCUCUUCACUAUUUAUUGUUCAUGGACUUUUUGAUGAUGGCCAUUCUGACUGGUGCGAGGUGGUACCUCAUUGUAGUUUUGAUCUGCAUUUAUCUAGUAAUUAGUGAUCUUGAGCAUCUUUUGUUGUGCCUUUUGGCCAUCUAUAUGUCAUCUUUGGAGAAAUAUCUACUUAGAUCUUUUGCCCAUUUUAAAACUGGAUUUUUUAAAAAAUUUUAUUGAGCUGUAUGAGCUGUUUGUAUAUUUUGGAGAUGAGUCCCUUGUUGGUCUGAUCAUUUGCACAUAUUUUCGCCCAUCCUAUAGGUUGUAACAAUGGAUAUUUCAAGGUUGCACUGAGCCUCAUCAGCUCAUAGUACCGACUGAGAGCAUCACUUGAAAGAUGGGGAGUCAGGAGUGGUAUCACCCUCAUCCACAGGAGACAGCAGGUUAUUACCCAGUGAGCAGGACUUUUAAAACCAAGCUUGGCUUUUAACAUGUAUCAUUAUUAUUAUUACCCGAAUUUCUUACAUUCAGAGCCAUAAUAAAUGGGGUGAAAUAGGCCUAAGAUAAACUUUGGUUUUAGACUUGAUUUUAAAUUGAAAUGUGUAUGUGACUUUAGAGAGAAGGUUCUGAUAGUAUGAUUAUUAAUUUCUCAGAAGCGAAUCUGCUUCAUGAGUGUGUGGGUUUUCAGAGCAGUCUCCUUACUGGCAGGGGAAUAUCAGACAAGUGGUGUUUUUCAGACAGCAAGGCAGAUGGCUCUUUUUCUUUGUACAGGGUGUGCCAACCAAACGAGACAGCUACACAAAUGUUAACCCCUGAGGGAGCGAGGAAACAGUCGCUGUCAGUUGUUCUUUAUAAAUCUGUAACUUGACUUGAGAAUGAUGUGAGAAAAGUAAUCUUUUAAGGAAAGUAUGCAUUAAAUGCACAAGUGCAACCUGUACUCUCACUUCUCACUAAAAUAGUGGAAAAUUAUGUAAUUACUUCAAAAAGGAAGCAAACUCAUAGGUCUGACAUUUCUGGGCUAAUGUGGUGGCAUUGCUGCCCAGUUCCCGUUCAGGCAUCCAUGAAGAUGACAAAAACGGGAAAUUGCACCAUAAAGCAAAUGCCACAUGCGAAGAUCUGGGUAGAAGUAUCCUAAAUAUGGUUGGUGAAUGGACUGAGACUGGUUUGGGAUUAUAUAGCACACAUUCUGCUUCUGAACUAGGAUAGAGCAAAUGGUCCCACACAAAGCAGUACACAGUUUAAAAAUUGAUUUGCACAGCAUGCCUAACUUCAGGAAGUACAUGGGUUAUGCCGAGUGGCAAAAAUUUGCCAUCUGUAGACUUACGAGCCAGUCAUAUCAGCAUCCUUAACCUGCUGCUUUGCCCAUCUCUACUAGUUCCUGUCCAUUCAUUUUCUUCUAAAACGUAUUUCCCAGCUUGCAACCCAGUAGCAGGGGCUAGGGGAGAUGUGUGAGAGUGCCCUAUAAAUUUGAAUGCAUAUCAUUUAAAAAAAAGCUUUUUAAGUAGGAAGAUGUGGCGCACAUGUGUUUCAUGGAUUAUGUACAGUGCAUGUGACAGCUGACAGGAGUACCUCUGAGUGCAGGAAGAGCUACUUUCUCCACAUGCUCGCAUUAGAGGGAAUGUCUUGUCACGCAUCAACAAUCGAGCUGAGAGGACAGCACAUCGCUUAUUUCAGUCUGAGAGGGAGAAGCUGCCAACAUUCGGUGGACAUUGAGGAGACUGAAGACACGUUACUUUGCAAGAAUGUUAGAUUUAAAUAGCAAAGGUAUGUACAGGGAAGACGUCUCCCACGUAGCUUUUAAAAGGGGUCUAGAAAACAGGAAAAAAGGAAAGAAUGACUUUGAAGACAUAGCGUUAUUUUUCUGAAGAUGGUUGCACGUAAGAAAGACGUUUAGGAUAAAUUUACAACAAAUUCAGUGCAUCUCCUAGGAUGGUUUCGAGUAAAAGGAAACCAGAGAGCCCCAGAUUGAGAUGAAACCAGAAAUGUCAAAGCUGACUGACAUAAAAGAAUGCAAGAAAACCAGAAUUGCAGUAAAAUUAAAGCAAUCCCCCAAAGACUUGAUAC